rnacentral:lncRNA from 1 species
AGUCCUGAUCCCCCUGCCCGCCCCACAGUGGCCCAGGCUGGCCAUGCCCUUCCCACCCUGCAGGCCAGCUGCUCAGAGCCAGGGGCUCACAGCCAGGGACGGAGGCUAUCCCAGCUCCCACCCGGGCUGGGCCCAAACCUGCCUCCUUUGGGCCUCAUUCUGAUUGGAAAAAAACAGCCUCUCUAGUCCCUGUCUCAGGAAGAUGACUUUUCAAACCAGAAUCUUUCUCACAAGUGUCUCCUCAGGACACAGCUGUGUGGUUUCCUGAAGCUCUUUCUGGUUCAAGAUCUGAUCAGGAGUCCAAUGUGAAUAGGAGACAACAGAGAGCUGUCUUUGUACUUUGGCUCUGAGGAAGGUUUGUGGAAUGGACCGCGUGUGGCCUGAGAGAGCUCGCAUUUCAGGGAAUGCCUGGGCUUGAUGCCUGUUAUCUUGUUCAGUGCCUCUGAUAAAUUAAUAAACUGGAAUCUCACUCAACA